rnacentral:rRNA from 1 species
UACGAAGGGGGCUAGCGUUGCUCGGAAUCACUGGGCGUAAAGCGCACGUAGGCGGGUCGUUAAGUCAGGGGUGAAAUCCUGGAGCUCAACUCCAGAACUGCCUUUGAUACUGGCGAUCUCGAGUUCGGGAGAGGUGAGUGGAACUGCGAGUGUAGAGGUGAAAUUCGUAGAUAUCGUAAGGAAGACCAGUGGCGAAGGCGGGUCUCUGGACAGUUCCUGACGCUGAGGCACGAAGGUCAGGGGAGCAAACGGG